rnacentral:rRNA from 1 species
GACGAACGCUGGCGGCGUGCCUAAUACAUGCAAGUAGAACGCUGAAGGAGGAGCUUGCUUCUCCGGAUGAGUUGCGAACGGGUGAGUAACGCGUAGGUAACCUGCCUGGUAGCGGGGGAUAACUAUUGGAAACGAUAGCUAAUACCGCAUAAGAGUAGAUGUUGCAUGACAUUUGCUUAAAAGGUGCAAUUGCAUCACUACCAGAUGGACCUGCGUUGUAUUAGCUAGUUGGUGGGGUAACGGCUCACCAAGGCGACGAUACAUAGCCGACCUGAGAGGGUGAUCGGCCACACUGGGACUGAGACACGGCCCAGAUUCCUACGGGAGGCAGCAGUUUGUAAUCUUCGGCAAUGGACGGAAGUCUGACCGAUCACCGCCGCGUGAAUGAAGAACGUUGUCGGAUCCACAGUUCUGUUGUAAAAGAAGAAUGAGUGUGAGAGUGGAAAGUUCCCCUUGCGUCGGAAUCUUACCA